ACGUUGAUAGGCUGGGUGUGUAAGUGCAGCGAUGCAUUGAGCUAACCAGUACUAAUGAUCCGUGAGGCUUAACCUU
rnacentral:rRNA from 2 species